rnacentral:rRNA from 1 species
ACCUGCCCUAUACACGCGGAUAACAUACCGAAAGGUAUGCUAAUACGGGAUAAUGUAUUUUGAUCGCAUGGUCGAAAUAUCAAAGCUCCGGCGGUAUAGGAUGGACCCGCGUCUGAUUAGCUAGUUGGUAAGGUAAUGGCUUACCAAGGCGACGAUCAGUAGCCGACCUGAGAGGGUGAUCGGCCACAUUGGAACUGAGACACGGUCCAAACUCCUACGGGAGGCAGCAGUGGGGAAUAUUGCACAAUGGGCGAAAGCCUGAUGCAGCAACGCCGCGUGAGCGAUGAAGGCCUUCGGGUCGUAAAGCUCUGUCCUCAAGGAAAUAAUGACGGUACUUGAGGAGGAAGCCCCGGCUAACUACGUGCCGCAGCCGCGGUAAUACGUAGGGGCUAGCGUUAUCCGAAUACUGGGCGUAAAGGGUGCGUA